AGAGUUUGAUCCUGGCUCAGGAUGAACGCUAGCUACAGGCUUAACACAUGCAAGUCGAGGGGCAGCAUAAUCAAAGCUUGCUUUGGUUGAUGGCGACCGGCGCACGGGUGAGUAACGCGUAUCCAACCUUCCCCUUAGUAGGGGAUAGCCCGGUGAAAAUCGGAUUAAUACCCUAUGUUUUCCGAAGAGGACAUCUGAUUUGGAACAAAGGUUCACCGCUAAGGGAUGGGGAUGCGUCUGAUUAGGUAGUCGGCGGGGUAACGGCCCACCGAGCCUGCGAUCAGUAGGGGUUCUGAGAGGAAGGUCCCCCACAUUGGAACUGAGACACGGUCCAAACUCCUACGGGAGGCAGCAGUGAGGAAUAUUGGUCAAUGGUCGAGAGACUGAACCAGCCAAGUAGCGUGCAGGACGACGGCCCUAUGGGUUGUAAACUGCUUUUAUAUGGGGAUAAAGUGCGGCACGUGUGCCGUUUUGUAGGUACCAUAUGAAUAAGGACCGGCUAAUUCCGUGCCAGCAGCCGCGGUAAUACGGAAGGUCCGGGCGUUAUCCGGAUUUAUUGGGUUUAAAGGGAGCGCAGGCGGGCUUUUAAGCGUGACGUGAAAUGUGGAUGCUCAACAUCCGAGCUGCGUCGCGAACUGGAGGCCUUGAGUGAGUACGACGUGGACGGAAUUCGUGGUGUAGCGGUGAAAUGCUUAGAUAUCACGAAGAACCCCGAUUGCGAAGGCAGUCCACGAGUCCUUUACUGACGCUAAAGCUCGAAAGUGCGGGUAUCGAACAGGAUUAGAUACCCUGGUAGUCCGCACGGUAAACGAUGGAUGCCCGCUGUUUGCGACAUACUGUAAGCGGCCAAGAGAAAUCGUUAAGCAUCCCACCUGGGGAGUACGCCGGCAACGGUGAAACUCAAAGGAAUUGACGGGGACCCGCACAAGCAGUGGAUUAUGUGGUUUAAUUCGAAGCAACGCGAAGAACCUUACCAGGUCUUGACAUCCGACUAACGAGAUAGAGAUAUGUCAGGUGCCCUUCGGGGAAAGUCGAGACAGGUGGUGCAUGGUUGUCGUCAGCUCGUGUCGUGAGAUGUUGGGUUAAGUCCCGCAACGAGCGCAACCCUUGUGAAUAGUUACUAACGGGUAAAGCCGAGGACUCUAUUGAGACUGCCGGGGACAACUCGGAGGAAGGUGGGGACGACGUCAAAUCAUCAUGCCCCUUAUGAUCUGGGCUACAAACGUGCUACAAUGGCCGUUACAAAGGGAAGCGACACUGUAAGGUGAAGCGGAUCCCAAAAAAGCGGUCUCAGUUCGGAUCGUGGGCUGCAACCCGCCCACGUGAAGUUGGAGUUGCUAGUAAUCGCGAAUCAGCAUGUCGCGGUGAAUACGUUCCCGGGCCUUGUACACACCGCCCGUCAAG
rnacentral:rRNA from 1 species